rnacentral:rRNA from 1 species
GACGAACGCUGGCGGCGUGCUUAACACAUGCAAGUCGAACGGAGUGGCGAACGGGUGAGUAACACGUGGGUGACCUGCCCUGCACUUCGGGAUAAGCCUGGGAAACUGGGUCUAAUACCGGAUAGUGUGGGAUGGGCUCGCGGCUUAUCGGCUUGUGGGUGGGGUAAUGGACUGCCAAGGCGGCGCCGGGUAGCCGGCCUGAGAGGGUGGACGGCCACAUUGGGACUGAGACACGGACCAGACUCCUACGGGAGGCAGCAGGGGGAAAUAUUGUACAAUGGGGGGAAGCCUGAUGCAGCGACGCCGGGGGGGGGAUGACGGCCUUCGGGUUGUAAACUCGUUUCACCAUCGACGCGGUAGAUGGAGAAGAAGCACCGGCUAACUACGUGCCAGCAGCCGCGGUAAUAC